rnacentral:lncRNA from 1 species
UGUAACGUUUACGUCAAAAUUGAGUCUGAAACGUCGUUUUUACGCAAGUGCGACAUUCUAGUAAGACUCCGAAAAAUUGACGGUGAUUUUAAAUUACUAAUAGGAAAUUGAUGUAUUUUAGAUUUUUGGAAAAUUGAGAAUGAUAACAUUUCAAAAAAUCAUUUCAAUUCGAUUUUAUCAGAGCACGGGUAAGUAAAAAAUUGCCGUAAAUUUGAGUUAAGUUUGUUUUUAUGCCAAAAAGCGGAAGUGCGACAACAUUGUAAGCCUUUGAAAAAUCGCCCAUAAAUCAUCAUUUUAUAUUUUUUAGAAUAUUUGUCUAAAAUUUUUUUAAAUUAAGCAAAAUAACAUUGACGUAGAAAUAAAAAUUCUAACUUUUUUCAAAACUUUAUUAAUUUUUUUGAACUCUCAAAACUGUAAUCCCCCUAAAAUUUCCCAGUGGGACAGAAAUGCCUUAGUUGUGUGGAACGCAUUUUUUUCUUAGGAAUUAUAAUAACAUCAUAAAAUAUUGCGUAAAUGACUGAAGAAACAUUUCUAUAAGACAAUGGAAAAAUCCGUUUUUUAAAAUAUUUAAUGGUUAAGAUACAAAUCAUGGUUCAGUUGUAACAAUAAACGAAACAUGUUACGCGGGACACCCUAAAAAAAUCCCAUUUUUUAAAAUUGAAGCUUGUCGCAUAUAGCAUAAAACAUAGUUUUUACAAUUAUUUUCUUCGUUUUUCUUUUGAAAAACCUUAUAUUUUAAAAUGUUUACAACAGAAAUUUAUUUUAAGUAACAAAAUUGCAAUUUUGAGACCUGUAUCUUGCCGAACACGUCAAUUUUUUCAAUGAGGUACGAACAUCGCGCGUAACGUCU